UGGCGCUUCUGGUUUCUCCUGCUUCCAGUCCCCACCGUGGGGAGCGUUGGAAUGUGCCGCUCAGAUCCUCUGAGGACACAUCCAUAUUUAUAAUUUAUUUUUAGGAGAAGUUGUGAAAAAGGGAGGGGGUUUAAAAUGGGGAGAAAAAGUGUGUGUAGGGGGUGGCCUUUCUCGAACCCAGAGGCUAAUGGAGCUAUUAAGAUGGAAAUAAUUUCCGCCAAUCUGGGCAAGUAGCAAAUUUGACUUUAAUGAGAGACAAUUAAGGGCGCAAAUAACUCAACUUGAGCUGGAUGGGGAGUGGGGGGCGUGGAACAGUACCGGACACCCCCAGGCACUCCGUUUGCGCUUGGCUAAGGAGCAUUUUGGGUGCCCAGCGUCUUCCCUGGGAAGACAUCAGGCCUGACUGUGGGAGUCGGGGCAAGGGAGGGGAAAGAUCCUCCCAUAGGGUGAGCAAGUCCACACCCCUCCCUACCCUGAGACCCUGGCUUUGCCGUGAGCUGAACUGUCAUCCCUGUAGGAAAGCCCAGUAAUGAUUCCUUUAAUUAUCCAGGAUUCUCCAAGAUCCUGCCUCAGAGGCAGCCCGUCCCGGUGCUGUGAGCUGUGCAGGGGAGUUCUCGAAAGGGUGGACCCAGAAUGGAAAGGAGGUUUUCGAGUCUGUGGUCCCAGAAUCGGGGUUUUGAGGGCGAGAUGAGUUUAUGUUUUAUCCAACUGGCCCACAAAGUCCCGCUUUUGGGGUCAUUCCAAACAGCGAGGGAUUCAGGCCCCAGCAGUCCCUGGAGAGUGAAGGCAGAGCUAACACCCCCCGGGCUGCAAGGCUCAAAGUCGGUUGGAGAAACGGGGGGGAGGUUUGCUACUUUUGGUAAAAGUGAAAGGCCAUUUGGGGGUGAUAUUCUUCCAUACGUGUGUACAGGGUGUGUGUGUUCUCAGUUUGUUGAACCUGCUAUGUUUUCAAGGGCCUCUUUCCUUGGGAGGCCAAAAUGAGAUGCGAGACGGCGAAAGUACACAUUUCUUUUUCUGCCCAGUGGUUUAAGGAGAUGUUCUAGCGGACUGGUGUCGUGGGAAUGGGUGGCACAUGGGUUGUGUCAAAGCAUGUGACACCCCCAAAAUCAAACACCGCUGAAAUCGUGAAUCCUGAUUGCAUUUGGUCUGUCUUUGCAUUUGUCAAAGGAGGAACUCUCUUCUUGCUUCCACGUGGAAUUGCAAUAUUUCUUUGCAAUUCUUUGCGGUCUCGCUCUAAAUCCUUUUAUGAGAAAGUCUGGAUAGGUGUUCACAGGGAAUUUUCUAAGGGAAGGAUGUUGGGGGGCCAGUGCCCCUCCCAGAACAUUAACCUUAUUAAGUUGUAUUAAUUUACACACACACACACCCUGCCCUCCGGUUUUAACCUAUCUAGACAUCCACAUACCUUAAGUUUAUUUAUUUGCAAACCAAGAUUUCAACUAAUUGUUCGCCGCAGAAAAUAGAAAAGCCAGCUGUACCUGCGAAACUUUUGAACACAGAGCCCUUGAUAUAAGAUUCAGUGUUUAAAAGACAUGGUACAUGUACCCACAGAUGACAUUGGUGCUCCCGAAUCCUUGGCAAAAACAGUUCUUGACUUCCAGAAUUCUCUCUCUUUGUUAUGGGUCACGAUGAAACAGCACAAUUUUCAGGAGUCCACAAUUCCAGCGUGGCGAGGGGCGAUUGUCACGUUGUGAAAUAAAUUGUUUGCCUUUUGCUGAAUCGUCACCCCAUGAUAGCACACGAGAGCUGACUGUCAGCUUCUAUUUGCUUUGCUAAAGAAGGAUAUCUCACCAAAUUAGCCUUUAAUGAUACUUCUCCAAAUGGGGUGUCUUACGUGAAUUAACGAGGCCGGAACGCUGAAUGUUGCACCGAGAUUCGGAGCUGUAAUCGAGGCGGUGAAGCUCUAUGUUAAAAUUACGGAAUUGUUAAGUGUGGAAAAUCAGACAGAAUUUAGUGCUGUAACGCAUGCAAGCAUUCGCAACAGUACAGGCAUUUCUUAUAUUCAGCCCUCUGAAACCGUGCAUGUAAAUAUGAAUACAUUUAGCAAACUUCCCCCCCGCCCCCCACCGAGUCUGGAAACAGGCAAAGUAGUAUGGGGAAGAGAUUAUAAAUCAGUACUUUGCAGUGAGAAGUCAUCGUUAAUUCGGCAGAGAAUCACAGCCUCCUUUUAUAUUCUCCCCACCACCCCCCAACCAAUAAGGAAAAAAACCCCAACUCAGCGUGGAACUGCUAAAUACACUGAAUACAUUCGGGCUUUUCUCCUUUCGCCUGUGUGUGAAAUUUCAUUAAGCAGUUGCUAUUUUUUCCCUCCAAAGAAGUGGGGAUUUAGGAAAAAAAAAUAGCAACUUUGAAUUUAGUUCUUUAUGAUACACAAGCCAUGGGGAAAAAAUGUUUUGAUCAAAAAGCCGGGGGAAAAUAUUUAGAGGUGAGACUGCAAUGAAACUCAUACUUCCUUAAAAAUAAAACAUGCGUUUGUGACUCAAACCAAUGAGAGUUGGAAAAGUCCCUACAAGGGAGCACUCCCUCUAUUUCUAGCUUCCCAGCACAACCUCUCCUCCCCCACCUUAUAUUAAGAACAGAAAAGAGAGUCUUGCCGGAUAAACGUACACUUCCUAGCAGGAGAUCUGCUCCCCCUGGUUUAAUUGGGAUUGAGGAGUAAAUACAGCUAUUUUAGGCAGAAGGAUAGAAAUUAGUCUGAUGAAGAGUAAAGCGAACUCAUGCCUUAGAAUCACUUGCCAGAAAAGAAGUGCAUACACAAACCGAAUAAAACAUUGUUGAUCAGAGUUCAUUUCAGCUAGAAGUUUCUUUCCUGCCCAGCGUCCCAAACUCGGGAAAAUGUAAAAAGUUCUUUUGGCUUCUUGUAUUUGGAGCAAGGUGAAAAUAAACCCCCAGGAAAAACACCGACACAAACAUGAUAGAAACGACCCGAGACUUUUCAGGCCUACUGGCCACGCAGGCUUUUUGGACAAAAGCGUGGAUGUUGGAGAGAGUUUGGAAGGAACGGACUUUGGGGUCCCUCCGUCCCCCGGAGCUCCCCAGCCCUCCUCGUGGUCUCUUUUCAAAGCAGCCACUCAUGGGAUGCUGUGUUCUCAGGGUCCUUGGUUGUAGGGGGCAUGAGCACAGAUUUACAAAGCUUUAAGGUUUCUGAUUUUACCUCAUCUUCCUUAUAGAAAACAUCUGAGCUUAAGGAACCACAGAGCAAACUUUCUCAGUGCCCCUGCAUGGCUACACCACCACGUGAAAGAGAGACACACCUAGAAAAUCAAAACUGGUGUUGGUGUCACAAGAAAGCCAUUUAAAAAAUGCGUUGGGGAGAGGGGGGCCGAUUUCGCCUUUCCUGGACGAAUUGGCCCCGGCAGGGAAAGGAGUGCUGGCUGCAGCUGGAAGUUCGCUGUGCGGCCUGGGGUGGAACUUUCUCGGAGACGUGCAGAGAACUGGGCUCUGUCGGGAUCAUGCAUGAGAUCGGCACCCAGGCCUGUUGACAUCUCUGCCAGAGACAGCCUGGACCGCUGCCAGCCCAGGCCUGAACGUGGCCUUAGAGCCACCCCCACAGCCCCAACAAGCCCCAGACAGGUGCCCAAGGGUCUCUCCUCCUAGAGCCCAGCCCACAGCAUGUCUUGGCUAGAAGGGGGAUGUUUGGCUCCCAUGGCAGCCUCCCCAGAGACGCGGCAGGGUUUACUAUCCCGGUUACCCUGUGGGCUCUGGUGAGGAGGAACCCCACUUUGCUAAGCAGUGCCUCCCAGAUGCUCCGAGGGAGACAGAUGUGGCCGUCCUGCGAGCUCAGAGCAGAUCCGCCUGUGCAAGGGCAGAUGUGAGUCUAGAAGGCUCUGGAGCAGAGCUGUACAUUUGCAGCCCAGGCUAGAGCUCUCUCCGCUCUCCAGCAACAGGGCUGCGAUCCUUCCUUUUGGGAUGGGCCGAGGGGGCGUGGCCCGGGGCCAGCAACAGAGCACGUACACAUCGGAGCUCCCGUGUGCAACUCCCCUGAGUGUGUCUGCGCCUCUUUCCAGCCAGCGGGGCUCCAACCGACCCAGCCAGGGAGCUGAGCCCUCUUCUGUCAUCAGGCAGUGAGGAAAACCAGGGCCAGGAGGGCAGGGGUGCAGCCUUGAAGUGGGAGAAGGCAUGGAGGGCCAUCAGAGGGCCUGCUGGGCAGAUGAGGGGACCUGCAUCCGAGCCACCCUGGGGGGCGGCCAGGGUAGCAUGCAGCCAGCAGCCGGCUCUGCCCCAGCCCCAGAAUGUGCCCGCUCAGGGAAGCUGCGCCCAGCCCUGAGUCAGCCGAUCCCACGGGACUCCCACUUGGCCCCAAUAACUGGACUCCAGGCCACCAGAAGGCCUCGUGGGUUCCUGAUUGUAUCAGAAUGGCAUUAAAAGGUCCAGACCGGGCACUCAUAGGCCAUGCCAUAUUUAGCCUCAGGUUCACCCGGAGAAUAUUUUAGGUGCUGCUUGAAAGAGGAGAUCUCGGCCCAUUGCCGGCUGUCACAUGGAGAGUGUAGACUCGCUCCCUCACAGGCCUGGUGGAGGUGGCUGGGUGCUCACUGGCACAGAUGCCCGCAGUCCCUGCCAGAGCUUUGGGGCCAUGAGACAGGUGCCAAGGAGCCAGCGAGCGCCUGGGUAGCCGGUUCUGUGCCGGGAAGGCUGCUCGCCCCGUUUUCGUCCUGACGGCGAUAAGCUCGCUCCAUUCACAGGACUCACAGAGGCUGUUUCAGGCCCUCUCUCCUCUCGAUGGCCCAGUGCGAUAUGCCAGCUUGCUGAGUGAGCAGCUUCCUCCUCCGGUGUCAGCAACUGCGGAGGGGUUAACCCUUUCAAGGCCCGGGGUGCUGGCUGGCAUGGGGGUCCCGCCUCCAGGGCCCUUGAAGGCCACAUGCCAGGGGGAGCCACUGCCCUGGAUGCCUUAAUCCUCCAUCGUUAGUGGCCAGACCAGAGAGAGGGCACCCUGGACCUUAACUGUGAUUUCCUCCUUUGGCCCCAGCAGCAGCACUAACCGCCAGGCUGCCCUACCCAAACCUUCGCCCUUCAGCCGUGGAAACAGCUGCUUGCUUUGCAGAUACUUUCCCCUGGGUUUCCAGGUUCAUUAACUUUCCUGCAUUCCGGAGGAGGAGGUAUUGAUGGAUUCGGGGUCCCCUUAGAUCAUUAAUGAGAGUUCGGAAUCAUCAUUUGGGGUCUUGGGGAAAUGUUCCAGGUCCCUAAGAGUUGCCUGGUGUUAGGGAAUCAGCCUUGGAAGCUGGUUUUCCAGGUCUUGGUUGUCUGGGCACAGCGGAGGCGGCCGUAUCAAAGCCACUGUGUGGAGGAGACACAUUGAGCCAAUGAUCAGCCAGUAAUUCUCAGCCUUGGGGGAGCCUGGUGGGGCCGCCAUACACUGUGAUAGCGUUGCUUGGUUUAAAGGUUCCUCUAACUUUGCGCACUUUUUCCUUUUUAGUUUUGGCUCUUGGGACUCUGAGAGCCACCCCUUCCUGCCCGGCUGGCUCGUUACCGCAGGGAAAAUGAGGGACUUUUGGGGGCAGAUGUGUUUCCAUUCCACUAUCAUAAUGCCCCUAAAAAUCCUUAUUGCUCUUGCAGUAUUCUUCGGGGGUCCCUGGGCCAGCCGGGCGCGUGGGGAAGACGGCAGCUCUGAGUGCCUCCAGCAACUAGAAGAAGAGAGAAAGAAGUUCCCCCACAUUCUCCCUUCUGGUCCCUGGUCCAUCUCCCCUCAGAGCUCAGAACUGUUCACUGCCCGAAAAGUAAAAAGACACCAUCCACAGACACUGGUGGCUCAACGUGCCUUUUGCCCUCCGGGGGCAGAAUGUUGGAGAUCAGGCCUGGGAACAGCAGGGCAGCUGUGGCUGCUGUCAGCGUUUGCUCUGGGGGUUUGUCAGGGGAGGUGGGGAAAGUGGAAGAGAAACAAGUGUUACCUGUUUGACGAGGCAGGCGUAUUUCACCGUUCAGCCUGGUCCUUCCAGUGGGGCCUCUGGGAUCCUCACCUUGGCAGGGGGCCCUGGGCAGUCCUGGCUUGCUCACCUGCUCCUGAGACAGGCCACUUUCCCACUCUCUGCCUCGGUUUCCCUGUCUGCCAAGGGAGGGGCAGCACCCCAUGCUCUUGGCCUCAAAGGGUUCUUGGUUGUACCCAACAUUAUAAUGAGCUCAAGUGAUACGCAAGCUCCGAAGCUGCUUGGAAAAUGGGGAAGUCAAGUUAUUAAACAUGGGAGGUGUUGGUGCUAAUGUUUACUAAUACACACCUAACGUGCUGAGACAGUUCAGACAGGAGGGGAGACUGUCGCCCAACAGUGUAAGCACCGGUUUCUGGAAUCAGCCAGUCAGAACUCUGAGACUCUUUUGCUGUGUCACCCCAGGCAAGUGACUCAACCUCUCUGGGCCUCCAUUUCCUCACACAUGAAACCCACGUUUUGGAACAGAAGUUUGCCAAGUCUGAUAUGCACAUCUACUCAAUGAGUUUAAGUGGUACCUGGCUAAAGAUGGAAAUUAUUCUCAUAGGUAUUUCUUUGUACAGCUUAUCUCUAUUUAUGGCAAGCAGUUUGUUUUCGGUUUAGGGUAGGGAUAGAAAGGCCUUUUUUUAUACCAAUUUAUGCAGGUAAAGAUAGAUGAGUUGCUGGAAAGAAAAGCAUUAAGCAAAUAAUAAUACAGGUGGCCUGAGGAUGGGGCAGAAAUCAAGAUGCCAGUUUGCAAAGUUUCAUACGUCGGCUUACUUAAGAAUUCUUGUUUGUCUUGGGAGUUUUGCAUCCACAUAGUUGGUGUGGGGAGGAGAUGGGUGGGUUGCUAAUUCAAAUCUCUGGAGGGCUCCACCAUGAUAGUCUGAGUGUCACAAGUCUUCCCUUCUCGGGGGGAUGGGAGGGGGCCCACCUCUCUGCUCACCGAUGCCAGGGAGACCCCUCAGACCUCCAGCCCUGCACUGACCCCUAGCUUUGACUUGUCUCAUUUUAGGAUCACGAUGACCCAGUGCCCUCCUUCCUGGCCAGGGCACCUCUCUGGGCCUCAGUUUUCUCAGUGAAAUGGGGAGAAUAACAAACUCUGUCCCAUAGCUGUGUGUGAAGAUGGAAGGGUUAACAGGGCUCCAUCGGGCGCUGAUCCUUCACAAACAGCACCCACUCGGAGGGCAGUGGGCCCCAGCGGCGCUGGACACGCGGGGGGCGCUCCUUCCACAGGCCACCCUGCGCCACCCGGCACCAGCUCCCUGCCCACCCCCUGGGAGGGUGGCUUUGCAGGGAAACAGCAGGCAGCCAGCAGGGGCGGACUCUGGUUUCACUUUCUGCUGUGUCAUGGAGUCGGGGGUGGCAUCGGGGCCCAGCUGGCCAGCUGGGGCGGGCACCGAGAGGCCAGCGGACAGCUGCCGGCCCAGCUGCCAGAGCACAAGCCGCGCCCCCCUGCGGCCUGCCAGGGUGGGGGCUGGGUCCUCGGGUGCCCCUUAAGGGCCUCUCCUCCCACACGGUGGGGAGAACCCCAGGCGAGAAAAGCCAGGAGCGGGUGAGAUCGUUUCUUGAGCUGUGGGAUCCCCCAAAAGCAACUUCUCAAGUCACGCAGCCUUGAAGUUCUGAGAAGUGCAGCUGUGGGUUCUGGAUCAGGGUGUGCUGGCUGGACACCUGCUCCCUGCCUCCCUUCACUGGGCACAUGGUGGGUGAGGGCCUACUGUGUGCUAAGCAGUGUGCCAGGUGCCGGGGGUACAACAGGGAGCAGGACAGCCCCUGCCCUCAUGGGGCUCCCAGUUAAGUCUGGGAGAUGGACAAAAGAGCGAGCAAGAGAGAAUCCCGCGUUAUGGGGGAAAUUCCAGCCUGAACGUCUGGUGCUAGCAUCUCAGGGCAGGGGCGUGCCUGCGUAUGCACCUAUGUGUGUCAGCAACGUGUCACCUCCUGGGACACAACGCCACAGGUCUGAGUAAAUCCUGCUCGCAGCUUCCGGGUUUGUAGACAGCCAGCGUGGAUCUCAAAGCAAAGGCCCAAUUUACGACUGAGGUCGGUCUCAGCAGUGAGCUUAGAAGCAGCAAAGCCAGGAGAAGGCUCCAGAGGAGAAGAAGGCAUGUGAUUGCUUUUACUGCUUAUCCAGAUAACCCAGGACAAACUCCUCUCCAGAUCCCUAACUGGAUCACCUCUUUUGUCAUAUAAGGUCAUAUUCACGGGUUCCAGGAACUGGAAGGUGGGCAUACCUUUCUGUUUUUCACAUCUCUUUUUUCACAUUUCUCUUUCAAUCCAUCCAGCCCUUACUGGUUAUUUGCAUAAAGACCAGAAAAGCAGAUUCCCACCACUACUGCAUUGGCCUCACAGAUAUUUAACGAAAAGAGUAUUAUUGUUGUAUUAUCUUGCUCCCAUCCGAGUGUGGAAAUGAUUUUUAAAACACCAUUUUAUGUUUUUGAUUUAUCCUGAUUUUUAAAAAUAAUACCGUGCUUAUGGUAAAAAAAAAAUAGUACAGAAGAGAAAAAUGUGGGAAAUAAAGGAGCGUCUUUGCAAUUUUUCUCUAACUCCAAUUUCACUUUCUGAAAAGUAGCUACUGUAUGCGGUUGGCAUAAUCGUCAUAAAUUUUCUAAGCAUUUUCGAGUGCCUGCACUUUCUCUGCUCAUAACGUUAAGAAAAUCGGGUGUGCUCCCAUAUAUCCUGAAGACACGACAGCCCUCAGACCCACCGCCUUCUUUUUAAAGCCUUGUAGCAUGGCACCGUACCCAGCCUGUCCCUCACUGGCUGACGUUUCAGGUAACUCGAGGAUUUUGCUGUUAUAACAUAUAUAUUUUUGGCAUGUGUCCAAGUAGACUUACAGGAUACAUUCCUAGAAGUGGUCUUUCUCAGUGAGAGGAUAGGUGCAUUUUUAAUUUCUACAGCGACUGCCCAGUGUUCUUCCAAAAGGUUGUAUCAUUCACACGCCCAUCAACGGUGUACGUGCUGUUUCCAGCACCCUCGCCCAACCUGGCAAAGACGCGGUGUGUCAGGGGAAGCAAAUCCUAAAUGAGGUAAGUGGACUUUCCCUGUGGCCUGGGUAGGGGUGGACAUGGCCUCCGAGGUUGUCCCUGUGGCUCUCUGAGGUGCUAAGCCGUCCAGAGCUCUCGUUAGUUUGGGUUUUAUAAACAAAGACAGAGUUUGGGGAGGUGAGCCAGAACCGUGCAGCAAGAAGCGUUAUGCAACUCAGUAUUUAUUUCUUUAGUGCAGUUAGAACUUAAAUAUGGUCAAAACAUAUUCUUCUUUUAAUUUACACAAACAAAUAUGUUCCCAGGCUGACACCUCGGGUGCCAAGUUUCUAGGGGAAACGAAAUUCUCCUCUGAGAUUAUAAACCACUAGAGAGAAGAUGGAAAUGGAAAAGCCACCGCGAGUCAGCUUCACACAUCCAGAACUGGGCUGCUAAGAGCUGUCUCUUUCUGUCUUAGCUGCGGAGAAACCUGCCAGUAAUUUCAGCAAAUGAAACGUGGGCCGCAGAAAGGCCAGAGGAUGGAAGAUGCUCCGGUUUUGACAAAAGGAGGUCUGCUCAGCUUGGAAUCCUCUCUCCUGUGAGUCAGGAGAUGGAAAGCUAUAUCCAGAGGGGCUGAUGAAUUGAGAGAAAAAAGAAACGAGGCCAGUGUGAGUCGCCUUUCAAGGGCUGUGCUAAUAUAAAACCAAACAACUUGAAAUUGUUCCAAGAGGGGAUUAAAGCAACAUGUUAUUUUGAGUGACUGCUUAAUUUAUUGAGCUGCGGCUAGAUCUGUAAUGAAAUACAGCCCUUGCAACUGAUAACCUCCCGCUGCAAUUGAACUUCUGCAAUUAAGGAAUAUUUUCCGAGAGUUUUCUCUGGAACAGCUUAGAAUUUUCAGUCUCUGUGGUGGGGUGCUUCUGAGCACUUGUUUUCCAGGCGAGCUUUUGGGUUUUUUUCCUUAAAGAAUGACGGGCUGACGUUAAUAAGGAAAAUAAGCUGCAAUUUACUGAAUGCCUUGUGUGCACCAGAUGCUUAAUAUACAUUACCUCUAAUCCUGACAACAGCCCAAUGAAGUAAUUUUUAUUAGGCCCUGUUUUAUAGACAUGAGGCUCCUAGAUGUUAGGUAAUUUUCCAGAGUGGCGUUGUCCAGGAUGGUAGCUACUGGCCACUUGUGGCUAUUUAUGUGUAAAUUAGUUAAAAUUUUAAAAAUCUAAAUAUUCGCUUCCUAGGUAGCACUAGCAACUGGUUCAAGUGCCCUACCUGUAUGUGGCCAGCGGCUAGCACAUUGGACAGCACAGAUGCAGGCCAUCUCGAUGACUGUAGAAAGUUCUGUUGACGAGUGCUGUUCCACAGAUCCCACAGGUAGAAAUUGGCAGUGCCAGGGUUCAAAACCAAGCUAAUGGGGUCCCAAGGCCACCUCUGCUAGCAUUAACCCUCUCUUCCUUCUGCUUUGGCUGAAAAGCAGUGAUUCUGAACCUGGCUGCACAUUAAAAUUACCUGGAUGCUUUGAAAACAAUAUGAUGUUAGGGUCCAGCCCCAGAGAUCCUGACUUCAUUGUGAUGGUGGGGGUGGGGACAGGCAUGAGGGUUUUUCUGAUUCCCUGUGUGACUCAGAUGUGCAGCCGGAAUCAAGAGCAGCUAGAUGAGAGGAUCCACACACAGGCUGGUGGAAGGAGCUGGUACAUCUGCCAUAGAAUGUGGUCCCUUCGGUACCUGCAAUGGGGCUCCCUCCAGGGCCACUUCUGAGCCUCCUCAACAGAGAGUUCAAGUUCAUUUCUGAGGGGAAGACUUAAGCGCCUUCUCACAUGCUUCCUGCUUGAUGGGAGACACGAUGAGGAGCUCUGCCUUUAGAAACAGGCUUUGUCACACUGCCAUGGAAGAAAGGAGAUGAGGAGGGAGGAUCACAAAGGGAAAAACCUCCAGUCCCAAAUCGAACUGGAAGCAUCAGUGUGAACUCAUGCUAUGUUUUGCCUUACGAAAUAAAGCAUGUAUCUCCUAGCUCCGUCCACUGAAAAGGUUAGAAAUAAUGAGCAGUUCAUAGCAUGAGCACCCCCAGCACCCAGGUUAUGGUCUCUAAACGCCACUUCUAACUAGGAAUCAGGGCUCUUUGGAGAUUCAGCAGAUUCCGGGUCUGAGGCAGGAAAUGUGCAAGACGAGCCUGAAACAUCUUGUCACCCAGGUAGCAUGGCAACUGUCAAAGACUUCUGGGGUCAUGUCAAAAAGGAUGCAGGGGACAGCAGGAAGAGGCUCCCACGGGCCAAAGAUGGGACAGUUUGAGCAUCAAGAAUAAUAAUUGCAGUGGACUGAAACAUGUCAUAUACGUCCAAAUCUAUGAGUUCACACUGACACUGAGAGAAACAAACCCAUUGGUCAUCUUUGGAGGAUGUUGGGAAACCAACUCAUUAUUUUGAAAAUUGUCAAUUAAAGGGAGAGAAUCAAGCAUUUACCCUUUCUUGUAUGAACCAUACCUUACAGUAACCAAACGUUGAAAAGUAAAGUUUCUUUUUAUGGAAGUAUUCCAGCUAACAAACAAGGACAGAAGGAUUGAAUUAGUACGCCACCAUUUUGCAAACCCUAAUGGAUAUAGCCGGUGAGCAUCAGUGGCUGCCGACAUCGCAAAGGGACAGCCAGACAUCAAGUGUCUUCAAAUGGAAAUGCAAAACAGCCACUAGGAAGUAGUCAGACAAACACACACACACAAAACAAACGUGAAUCUAAGUGAGCUUCUAGAUCUUACUAUUUACAAGAAAUACAGGGGGGAAAGGGACAUGUGUGACACUAAUAUGGGGCUGCAGUAAGCCAAAUCCAGACUGUAGGACACUCUACAGAACAACCAGCCCAGAGUCUUCAAGUGAGAAAAAGCGAGGGAGGGGCCAGCCUGGUGGCAUAGUGGCUAAGUUCGCUCAUUCCACUUUGGAGGCCCAGGGUUUGCAGGUUCAGAUCCUGGGCGCAGACCUAGCACUGCUCGCUAAACCAUGCUGUGGUGGCAUCCCACAUAAAAUAGAGGAAGAAUGGCACAGAUGUUAGCUCAGCAAUGACCUUCCUCAAGCAGAAAGAGGAAGAUUGGCAAGAGAUGUUAGCUCAGGGCCAAUCUUCCUCACAAAAAAAAAAAAGAAAAAGAAAAAAGGAAGGAGAGAGAACUUAUAGGUUGAGAGAGAUGUAAGAGACAUAUCAACCAAUUGCAAUGGAUGAACCGUAUAUGGAUCCUGAUUUUAACAAACUGUAAAGAAAACAUUUAUGAGAUAACCAGAGAAAUUUAAACAUUGACUAGAUAUAUGCUGAUGUUAAAGCAUUACUGUUAGUUUUAGUAGGGGUGAUGGUGGUGUAAAAAAUUCCUCCCCCUGGGGCCAGCCCUGUGGCAUAGUGGUUAAUUUCGGUGCACUCUGCUUUGACCGCCCAGGUUCACAGGUUUGGAUCCCAGGCGCAGACCUACACCACUCGUCAGCUGUGCUGUGGUGGUGACCCACGUACAACAGAGGAAGACUGGCACAGAUGUUAGCUCAGGGCGAAUCUUCCUCAAGCAAAAAAAAUAAAUAAAUAAAAAUCUCCCCCUCCCUUGUUUUGGAGUCAUACACUAAAAUGCUUGCAAAAAAAAUAAUUGCUGCCUGGAAUUUGCUUCCAAAUAUCUGCGAUGAGGGAGGAGGGGUGGUGAUAGAUGGAACACGAUUGGCCAAGAGUUGGUGAUUGUUGAGGCUGGGGUUCAUUGUACCGCAUACUCUACUCUUGUGUGUGCUUAAAAUUUUUCGUAAUAAAAAUAAAGACCAGCCUUUUCCUUCCUUUCUCUGAAGGGUCUGGGGUUGGUCUGCCCACCCACUGCUGGCAUCUCUGGGGCAAGCCUGGGUAGCAGGUUUCAGAUACAUCUCAUUGCAUACACACACACACACCCUCCUGUCUCCACGGCAACCAGUGAGGUGAGAAAGCAGCAUCCAGAAGGCUCCUGUCCACAUGAGGAUCAGGCCAGGCUGCCAGUGUCAUGCCAGGCCCACCAUCGCUGCCCCCUUUGGGAAAUUCCUAAUCGAAUCUUAGGAAUAGAUGGUCCCCUCACCACAUGUGCCUCCUUGCACCCCUUCCCCAUCCCUCUUGCCCUCCCUGUGAAACCCCAACUAGCAGAGGCCAAUUAGUGGCGAGAACAGGACCCUGAAUCAGAUUCAAGCCCAAAUUCUAACUUUACCACUUAACGGCAAGACCUUCAGCCAUCCUGAGCCUCAAUUUUCUCCCGUGUAAAAUGGGCAUGAUGUGACCUCCGCUAAGUCAAUAAAUCUUUAUUAUAGGGGGACAGUGGCAAAAAGGACCUAGUGUCCACCUCGUGGAAUAGACACUCGGAGGUGAAGGGCCAUCUUAAGAGAGUGUGAGUGCUGUGAUAAAGUACGUAUCAUAAAACUUGAGAUGUAAGGGUGCUUAAUCACAUCCUAAUUUUUUGAAAACUGGCAGUAACUACUUAGGAGAUGUCGUAACUCUCAAUCAUACUUCCUGUUAACCUGAACAUCCACAUUCUCCAACUGCCGAGGAUCCAGCUGUGUCAAAUGCACAGAAUAAUUUCCCUUAACUCAGUGCUCACAUUUCCGUGAGGGGAGUACUAUUAUUCCCAUUUUACGGAGACGGCAGCGAGGCAUGAAGAGGUGAGGGACCUUGCCCGAGGCUGCACUGUGGGUACAUGGUCCUGGCCUCUGUAUUUGGCCCUCUGCACUGAGUAAGCUUUGAAAUGCCGGGGCAUGGCCAGGACAUCAGAACUGCCAAGAGACCAACAGGCUCUCCAGGUCAAACUAUUUUGCAAACUAGGAAACAGUGGCCCAGAGAGACCAAGUAACUUGUCUUGGGCCACACAGCGAAUCAGCGGCUGAAUCUGUGUCCCAGCUGCUUGGGGAGAAGGUGCAGGGAAGCCCCAUGUGGUGAGGGAGCCUGGCUCUUCUGCCCCAUUUAAUCCUGUCCUAGAGUGAGGUGACCAGCCAUCCUGGGGUUUCCUGGGACCGGGGACUUUGAUGCUAAAACCAAGAAAGUUCUGGGCCAAGCAGGAUGAGUUGGUCACGCUGUCUCAUGAUGAGGCGUCUUAAUGGAUGUUCUCUAGGACAUCAGGCCCUGGGAUGGAGCUGGCUGACGAGAACCAUCAACAAGGCCCCAGAGAAGUGCUGAAGUUUCAUGCCUGUGGUCCCCUGGAGACAGGCUGGUAUCCAUGAUGUCACGUGAUAGAAGAUGAUUCCAGAAAAAGACUGGCCAAGAGGCUCCUGGAGGGAGAGAUGGCAGCCAGGAUUGGGAGGUUUUUUUCUUUAUUAUACCUGUUCUGUCCACUAUUUCCUGGCUCUGUUCACAUCGCUGCUCCAGCACCAGCUCAGGGAAAAAAACGAAACAAAACAUGAGCCCCAGAAUUUGAGACAAGAUAGCUGGCUGGUUUCCUCUCUGCUUGUAAUUAAUGCUGGAAAUGUUCAUGACUUGCCUUGGCCGCAAAGGUAAUAAUAAAAGUCUGCAGCCUGAUUAUUUGGCUACUAAUUCCCUUCUUGGUGUUUUUCUUCCCCUUUCCUUAAAUUACUUCCAGAGUUCGUCCAGAUUUCUCGUUGCUAAGCUGUAAAGUUCCG
rnacentral:lncRNA from 1 species